AAACUCUUUAGAAUGUGUUAAUGAGCCUACAUCUACAGGUAAGCACCUCUUUAAAAAAGUCUCACACGACUGCGGUGCGACUCGGAAUUCGGGGUCCCUCCCCACCCACUUACAUAAAGUAAAUUACUACUGGAAUUUCUGUGGGUCCCCUCCGGGUGUGGCUCCGUGGAAUCGCCAGCACUGGUCACACGACUGGUGAGAGGCCUACUUGUAUGGGGAGUAUUUUCUGUUUGCGGUAAAAAUCAGUUAAAAUCAGUAACUUCUGCUCAGUGUGCACUUUUUUGUCUACAUAUUAUCAACCAAGAGCUGUUCUGAAACCAAGUGUGAUCCUAACAGUUACUAAAGUAAGGGAAUUACUGAAAUCCUAACAGUUAAACAAAGUCAUCUUCAAAACUACAAGAUGCAAGUGGUAAAGUGAUUAAAACCAGUAAAAGCUGCUGCCCAGUGCAAAUUACCGAGCUGAAUUAAUGGUUGACUCUGUCUAUUUAUCUAUCUAUAAAUGCAAUAACUACAAACUUUCCAUAAUAUACUGUGCAUGCCUUUCAUCUACAGUGACCACUCAUGCCAUCACUGAGGCUGAGUGUUUCUCUUCUGAAGUAAGCCCCCCUUUGAUUCUGAUCAGGAUGCAGUUAUGAAAAUCCAGUGUAGUUUUAUUUAACAUGGCUGCACAUUGUAGGUACUCAUGAGAAGCAAUGACAAGCAGGCAUUGCGCUGUUUCAUGCGAUUCGUUUUGGAAAAGCGGAUUGAACUGAUUGUGCGUACAAUAGACUGCUCCAGUGCACUCCAUCACAAUUCCCUCCGGAGAAGCACCACUUCCGCAGCAGAGAUUGCAUUGUUAUUGUGCUGGGGAAGGAUCACGCUGACUCCGAAAGUCAUCACGCUGAUUGGAUAA
rnacentral:lncRNA from 1 species